rnacentral:rRNA from 1 species
CACGUAGGGCGCAAGCGUUGUCCGGAAUUAUUGGGCGUAAAGAGCUCGUAGGCGGUCUGUUACGUCUGCUGUGAAAACCCAGGGCUUAACCCUGGGCUUGCAGUGGAUACGGGCAGACUAGAGGCAGGUAGGGGAGAAUGGAAUUCCCGGUGUAGCGGUGAAAUGCGCAGAUAUCGGGAGGAACACCGGUGGCGAAGGCGGUUCUCUGGGCCGUAACUGACGCCGAGGAGCGAAAGCGUGGGGAGCGAACAGG